UACUAACUCUGGCGGCGUGCCUAAUACAUGCAAGUAGAACGCUGAAGGAGGAGCUUGCUUCUCUGGAUGAGUUGCGAACGGGUGAGUAACGCGUAGGUAACCUGCCUGGUAGCGGGGGAUAACUAUUGGAAACGAUAGCUAAUACCGCAUAAUAGUAGAUGUUGCAUGACAUUUGCUUAAAAGGUGCAAUUGCAUCACUACCAGAUGGACCUGCGUUGUAUUAGCUAGUUGGUGGGGUAACGGCUCACCAAGGCGACGAUACAUAGCCGACCUGAGAGGGUGAUCGGCCACACUGGGACUGAGACACGGCCCAGACUCCUACGGGAGGCAGCAGUAGGGAAUCUUCGGCAAUGGACGGAAGUCUGACCGAGCAACGCCGCGUGAGUGAAGAAGGUUUUCGGAUCGUAAAGCUCUGUUGUAAGAGAAGAACGAGUGUGAGAGUGGAAAGUUCACACUGUGACGGUAUCUUACCAGAAAGGGACGGCUAACUACGUG
rnacentral:rRNA from 1 species